GUUUAUAAUCACAAAUCCUUCAAUGUAAUCAAACGUAUUUUCUGCAGCCGAUAUUAGUUUUUCCUGGUCUAUUGCAAAUGUGGAAAAAUCUGAGUACAGCACUCUAAUCCAUUUUACCUGUUCACAAUGGAGUUACAACAGCAAUAUUCUUGCUCGGGUUAUAAUGCCGAACUGGCCAAGUCCUCCAAGAACACCGUGAAAGAGAUCACUGUUCUGCUUCUCUGAACAAGUUACAACCUCCCCUUUUCCUGCACAUAAUUUGGUUUCACCUUUCAGUCAAGUAAAGACCACUGGCCACCUGCAAUUUCGGUAUCAUACGAGCCUUGAACCAGACAAAAUAAAGCAUUUUUCUGGACGAACCUGUUACAACCUCCAGCUGGUGGACAUUACUGAUCUGAGGGCCGUGUCGAAAUGCCUGCCCACUGAUCCCUGCAUUAGACAGAGUACCGCCAACAGUUAGAUGUAGGUAGUCUGUCCAUGAUUUGGGUGCUAACCCAAAUUUCAGGCUUUGAUGCAGGAUAUCUAUCCACAACUCGCCACCAGAGACAUCCACAUAAGGAGAAUUUCCGCGGUAAACCUGCAUAUAUGGGCCCCGGAGUGAUUGCAUAUUAAUCACAACUCCCCUGUGAGCUUGUGACUGACCCUGGAGUGAGUGGCCAUGGCCUCUAGCUGCAAUAGUGAGCUCUGAAUGAGGACCCAUCUGCCAAAUAUGCUCUAUAGUAGUGGCAAUAUCAGAAACCGACUUUGGAUGUAGUACUGCCACUGGGAGGAACUGGUACCUGUUGCCAAAAUCUUUGGCUGCAAGGUGAACUUCAUCGAAGUUGAAAUGCCCAUCAAGGGGAAGUGCCUUCAAUGUAUAAGGGAUGCUAGAAAAACAAAGUUUUAUUCUAAUGGUAACACAGCUCAAGAACAAGAGCAUGAAGCUUCUUAUGAGAAGAAUGUUACUUUGUCUAAGGAGGCAAACUGGUGGGUAUCUCAUUUUUUUUUCCUAGAAGAAAUAGGGGAAGCAAAGUUGGAAAGGAGUUAAAUCCUGUAGCUUUGGGUUCUUUGUGAAGAAAAUGAGAAGAAGAGGUGUGGGAGAGCCAAGGAAAUGAAGGGCUGGGGAGAGAAUUUAAAGGGAAAGUUUCAGUUGGCCAAGUCAACCUAUCUUGGUCAGUUGCGAGAAUCCGUAUGAAGACUGCCAACUUGAGUGGAAGAGUUUUAGGAUUUUCUUUUAGUUUCUCCUUUUUAAGCUCUUUUGUUUAUCAGAGAAACCGUCACACAUAUGCAAGUUGAAGAAAAAAGUUACAAGCAAGAAAGAUUUGCUCA